rnacentral:lncRNA from 1 species
UAGAAGAAUCACUAUAUAAUUAAACUUCUGCUGGAUUUAUUUAAUGAAGCGGUCAGUCAUUGUUAGCUGUACCACACUGACCUGUGGUUUCUGAUAUUGUUCACCUCAGCCUGAAAUAUCUGAGUGAUAAUAAAACACGAUAUAAUAAAAUACAGAAACCUGUCAUUAACAUCAAACACUCAGAUCAGAUUUCUGACUAUAUUAAAAUUCUUUUAUGACUCUUAAAAGCAUUUAUUUUUGAACCUGAAGUUUUUUCAUAUACAUCAGACUGUCUUCUUCUGGCCAGGUUGGACACUAAAUGUUGGAUCAAUGCUGUGAGGAGGAUUUGAUUGCAUCCAGCCCCAAUGACAACAUCAGUAAGCUUAUGAUGAGGAGCUGUGGUUGGAAAGGAAAUGUUGGAAAGGAAAUCUGCAGCUGUAAUCAACAGACAGUGCUGAGAGCUGAAAUCACAGUUAAUUGAAGAUGAAGACUGUGCUGCUGUUGGCGUGCCUGCUGGCCCUGGGUUUAACCCUGCCGGUGAGUGUCCUGCAGAAACAUCUGUAUAAAUUACUCAGUACUUGCUGU